rnacentral:rRNA from 1 species
UGGGGAAUAUUGGACAAUGGGCGCAAGCCUGAUCCAGCCAUACCGCGUGGGUGAAGAAGGCCUUCGGGUUGUAAAGCCCUUUUGUUGGGAAAGAAAAGCGACCGGCUAAUACCCGGUUGUUCUGACGGUACCCAAAGAAUAAGCACCGGCUAACUUCGUGCCAGCAGCCGCGGUAAUACGAAGGGUGCAAGCGUUACUCGGAAUUACUGGGCGUAAAGCGUGCGUAGGUGGUUGCUUAAGUCUGUCGUGAAAGCCCUGGGCUCAACCUGGGAAUUGCGAUGGAUACUGGGCGACUAGAGUGCGGUAGAGGGUAGUGGAAUUUCCGGUGUAGCAGUGAAAUGCGUAGAGAUCGGAAGGAACAUCUGUGGCGAAGGCGACUACCUGGGCCAGCACUGACACUGAGGCACGAAAGCGUGGGGAGCAAACA